rnacentral:hammerhead_ribozyme from 1 species
GCUGAAGAGUCCAAUACUAGGACGAAACGGCCGUCC